rnacentral:rRNA from 1 species
CCACGGGUGGCAGCAGUGAGGAAUUUUGCGCAAUGGGAGCAAUCCUGACGCAGCAACGCCGCGUGGGUGAUGAAGGCCUUCGGGUCGUAAAGCCCUGUCAGGUGGGAAGAAUGUCCCGGGACUGAACAGGUUCCGGGAGUGACGGUACCACCAGAGGAAGCACCGGCUAACUCCGUGCCAGCAGCCGCGGUAAUACGGAGGGGGCAAGCGUUAUUCGGAAUUACUGGGCGUAAAGCGUGUGUAGGCGGUCCUGCAAGUCGGAUGUGAAAGCCCCGGGCUUAACCCGGGAAGUGCAUUGGAAACUGUGGGACUUGAGUACUGGAGAGGAUGGGGGAAUUCCCGGUGUAGAGGUGAAAUUCGUAGAGAUCGGGAGGAAUAUCAGUGGCGAAGGCGCCCAUCUGGACGGUAACUGACGCUGAGACGCGAAAGCGUGGGGAGCAAACA